AUUGAACGCUGGCGGCAUGCCUUACACAUGCAAGUCGAACGGCAGCAUAGGAGCUUGCUCCUGAUGGCGAGUGGCGAACGGGUGAGUAAUAUAUCGGAACGUGCCCUAGAGUGGGGGAUAACUAGUCGAAAGACUAGCUAAUACCGCAUACGAUCUACGGAUGAAAGUGGGGGAUCGCAAGACCUCAUGCUCCUGGAGCGGCCGAUAUCUGAUUAGCUAGUUGGUGGGGUAAAAGCCUACCAAGGCGACGAUCAGUAGCUGGUCUGAGAGGACGACAAGCCACACUGGGACUGAGACACGGCCCAGACUCCUACGGGAGGCAGCAGUGGGGAAUUUUGGACAAUGGGGGCAACCCUGAUCCAGCAAUGCCGCGUGAGUGAAGAAGGCCUUCGGGUUGUAAAGCUCUUUUGUCAGGGAAGAAACGGUAGUAGCUAAUAUCUAUUACUAAUGACGGUACCUGAAGAAUAAGCACCGGCUAACUACGUGCCAGCCGCCGCAGUAA
rnacentral:rRNA from 1 species